rnacentral:rRNA from 1 species
UGCGAUGAAGGCCGCAGCAAAAUGCGAUACGCAAUGAAAAUUGCAAUGUUUCUAAAUCAUUAGAAUGCUGAAUGUAAACUACACUUUAUUCCUCUUGUAAAAAAUUGGAUGAAAAGUAC